rnacentral:rRNA from 1 species
CAGCCGCCGCGGUAAUACGAAGGGGGCUAGCGUUGUUCGGAUUUACUGGGCGUAAAGCGCACGUAGGCGGAUCGAUCAGUCAGGGGUGAAAUCCCAGAGCUCAACUCUGGAACUACCUUUGAUACUGUCGAUCUGGAGUAUGGAAGAGGUGAGUGGAAUUCCGAGUGUAGAGGUGAAAUUCGUAGAUAUUCGGAGGAACACCAGUGGCGAAGGCGGCUCACUGGUCCAUUACUGACGCUGAGGUGCGAAAGCGUGGGGAGCAAACAGGAUUAGAUACCCCCGUAGUCCCUGUCUCUUAUAC